rnacentral:rRNA from 1 species
UACGAAGGGGGCUAGCGUUGUUCGGAAUUACUGGGCGUAAAGCGCGCGUAGGCGGUUUUGCAAGCCAGAGGUGAAAUGCCUGAGCUCAACUUAGGAAUUGCCUUUGGGACUGCGAGGCUUUGAGGACUGGAGAGGUGAGUGGAAUUCCCAGUGUAGAGGUGAAAUUCGUAGAUAUUGGGAAGAACACCGGUGGCGAAGGCGGCUCACUGGCCAGUUUCUGACGCUGCAGCGCGAAAGCGUGGGGAUCAAACAGGAUUAGAUACCCUUGUAGU